GUUUCCUCCGAGCGGCCUCAGCUUCGCUGCCAGCGCCCCCUUUGCCCGUCCAGCCGCGGCAUGGGCUGCUACUCCACUAACACACGCGCGCGCGCAUACACACACACACACACACACACACACACACACACCCUUUGCCUCGCCAAGCGCCCACACUCGCCAACGCCCCCGCCCCGCCCUUCGGCCACCGCAGCAGAGGCCACGCGUGACAUUUAGGACCACGCGUGACCACCGCGAUCAAACGACGGCUACGGUCUGUGUUCGUAGGGAAGUGAAGUCAGACCUCUGCUGGAUGUCGUGUGUCCCCUAGGACUGCGUCCUCCCGCGCAGACAGAGCUCCAGAGCACCACCCCACUGUGCCUCAUUCAGGAAGUGCUGUGAUCAAGAAACCACUACUGCUGCUGGUGCCAGGACUGUGAUUCCCAUCAACAGCACUGAUGGCCUGCACCUCACCUCUGACACCCAUGGGACUCUUGUAUGUGGACACCAGAAAGUCUGCUAAUUCUGGAACAAAAACCUGAAAUGUCUCCAUGAGAUGGACUGCUGAAAGAAAUAGAAAACCACAGAGGUGAGGCCUCCACCGUACUUCCAAAUGCUGUAUUGCACAUGGAAUGCAUUUGAUUUGUCAGAUCAAUCACUUUCAGAAUCCAAGCUGCAAAGGAGUUUUGGAAACACAGACCAGAGUUUUCCAGCCUCUGUCAGACGAGAAGGCUAAAAAAGAUUGGAAUGGAUGAUGGGCAUUCAUAUUCACAUAAAUUCGACUUCUAUAUAUGUGA
rnacentral:lncRNA from 1 species